rnacentral:rRNA from 1 species
AUGAAUCAUAGGCGCCGCCGGACAGUUCUUCGUGACGCGUGUUUCUCCUCGGAGGCGUUGAAUGCCUUUAAUGCGGGAGACGUGCACCUCCGUGCCGCUCGAGAUGGUCUAACCAGAGCCACGGAGCAGUAUGUGAAAGACAUACGGGAUCUUACGGAGAGGAAUACCCACCUUUCCCAGGAGCUUCAAGGGUGCAAGGCCCAACUUGAGGCCGCACUAGCCGCCGCAGGGGGAGCCACAGAGACCCCCUCUGAUGGUGCCGGACUUGAUCCGGACAAGCAACAACUACUGCGCCAGCUGAAGUCCGGCGAGAAGAUGCUUAUGAGGGUGCAGCAGGAGAGGAACAAACUCCAAGAUGCCAACACCCAGCUGGGCGAAGAACUAAAAGAUGUUCGGGCCCAGCUGUCUAACUCCGUGAAGGAGAAUCGGCGGCUUCGUCGCGGCAUUUAUAGUGUGCUCACAGGUGGUCCUGCGGAGGAAAGGCCCGGUUCAACGGGUGACCUACUUCCCGAGCUGCUGCAACUGCACGAACGUGUUCGGCAGGUGAUGAGCGGCGUCGCCCAGGCCUUAUGGCCGUCCGUCUCCCUACCCGAGGGUCUUGGAGGGCUUGCGGAGAAGCUUCAGGGAGCACGGCAGCGCUUCCGUCUAUGGAAGAUAUCGGCCUACCGUCAAGGCGCCCGGGAGGCCUGGGCCAUGGUAAAGACGCGGUACACGAAGGCUGAUCCAAACCACAUGGCCGAGGUCGAACCUGUGGGGCUCGAUGGGAAGGAGAUCCCUGUGAGCUUAAUGUACGGCCAAGUAGAGUUGGCCGCUAAGUAUUCCCAACGGGACUGUAAACUAGACAGCCUGUUAGAUGGGAUUGAAGAGGAGUACAAUCAGUCAAUUUGA